AACAAAGUGAAUGUUACAAACUUUUUGACAAAGUGACGUGGCAUGUAUUAAAAUGAUUUUUUUGAGUUAAAAAAUGGAAACUGCACGUGUGAGAGAGAAUUGAAGAAUAGGGACGUGGGUUCAAAAAAUAGAUUGUCUUUCACAUAACUGUUCUCGCGCGUUGGAGUUCAUUUUUGGCCCCUCUUAAACCUUUUCUUCCCCUUCUCCACGGUGAUACAGAACCAUUCUCCUGCACAUUUCCAUUGCUUAAAAUUUCCGCUGCAUUCACCCAAACCCAUUAUCGUUGCACAUCGAAUCCCACCUACACGAAAGCAGUUCGUCCCGACGGUGGUAGACGAAAUCACAGUGGAACGUUCCCGACGGUGGUUGACGGAGAGCAUUGAAGUUGCAGCUUCGUGCCAUUGCUGGAGGUGAGAUGAAAAUUGAAGUGUGGUGUUUACGGAGCUGACUUAUUUGCAGGUUUUAGGGCGUUGGUGAGUGUUUGUUGAUAACUCUACUAAGUAUGGAUAUGCAACAAGGUAAUGACUCCAUUGAAAAUAAGAUACAUUUGAGGCAUUCUUGUGGAACAAAAUAUCUUGCAUCUAUUAACAACCAGUUAACAGCAGAGCAAAAAUUAUUUAUUGAAGGGACAUGUUUCGGAUGGUUAACAAUGUUGAAGGAGCCUACGAAAUUGUCUAGAAACCUUCUUAGUAAAUUAUGUUCUAGAUGGGAUGACAAGAGUGGAUGUUUUCAAAUUAGAUCCCAAUCAGUUCGAUUUACUUUAUUGGAUGUUUGUGUAGGUCUUGGUCUUAGGGUGGUUGGUCCAAAAUUCAAUUUAAACGAAAUCGAAGUGGAGAGUAAUUGUAGGAAAAUGUUUCAAAGUAAGAACGUCGACUUAAGCAUGUUGUAUGACUUCCUAAUGCGAAAUAGGAAAGAAAUUUCUAUACCUGACUUUUGUAGAGUUUAUAUAUUGUUGGGCAUUUGUGAAUUUUUGUUGCCAAAUCGUAUUGGUAGGGUUUUCCCAAUUCUGUUUAAGCGGGUAGAUGAUAUUGAAGGUCUUGGAAAUUUGAAUUGGGGUGUUGUUGUGUAUGAAUACUUGGUUGGGAGCAUAUGUCGUGCUUCUUUCUUGUUUAAGAGAGGUGGAACUAAAAGACACUUCCAUGUAGAUAGAUGUGUU